rnacentral:lncRNA from 1 species
CGGCCGGCUGCGGAGGCCGCCCCGGGCACCCCUGCCCGUGGGGACGGGCCGGCGGCACCGAGGGGCAGAGGAGGGUCCGCAGGAGGCGAGGGGCUGUGCCUGGGCACCCAGCCACAGCUGGCAGCUCCAGAGACAGGGACAGCGCAGGGCAAGGACGGGCAGGAGGAGGGGAUAGAGCAGGCAGCAGUGAAAGCCGAGGGGGAGCGGCCGAGUCCCCGUGAACACACGAGCGAGGUGGCGGAUGCCUCGGCGAGUGCAGGGACCGCUGCGGGAGCCGGGGAGCCGAGGAAGGACAGUCCCGUCGGAGGGAGCCCAGGGGUCCCGGCAGCAUCUGCCGUGGGCGAGAGGAGCCGCAGCUCCCGUCAGGACAGUGCAAACCCAGACCCACUCAUCAUGUCCUCAGAACAGCCUCAGGAUGGGGAAGAAACUCUGCUCUGAGCUUUUUCUGCAGCUCCUCAGUGUUGUGUCCUGCAACAUGCACUCAGCUGGCCGUGGGUUUGUGCCGGUUGGGAUGUCACUCCUCUCUUCACCCUGUGAGCACCACAGCCACCUGUCACGUUUCACUGGAGCAGAUCCUCAGCGUGCAGCGCACAACUGAAACAAGUCUGUGUUUGCCAGCCCAGAAAACAGCACUCCUUUGCAAGGAUGAAGACAGUAAUCACAAGGAUUGUUCCACAGUUGUGUGGCCUGUUUAUCUUAAAAACCAGAGAAAUAGUGGACUGACUGAACUUCCCCUCCUCCCCUAGGCACCACCUGCAGGCAGGCAGGCAGGGUUUUAUCCUGGGGUCUUCCCUGUCCCGUGCUAGGGGAGGGGAGCCCUCCUGCAUGUGCAGUGCCCCCUGUGCCAGGAGGUGUGGGGGGGGCUUCCCUCCCCUUGGGCAUCCAGGCUUGGUGCUGGCCACACUUCAGGGCAUUCUCAGCAUGCGGAAAUGUUGUUGAAAGUUGUUAAAUCAGAACAAUUCUAGCAAGUAUUUGUAAAUGCAUAAAGCCUGGCCUGCUUUUGCUGGAGUCACUCAGGAGUGGUGCAUGGAACCUCAGCUGAGGCUGCCAGGAGGGAGGUCAGUUUAGAGUUGUCUCAGCCUGGUGCUGGCUGCCCAUCUCUGCUGCCCAAGGCUCUUGUCAGCUCUGCUGCACCUCUGCAACACUGGGACCCCCAGGACCUUUUAGAGCUGGGCACCUGGGGCGGGUGUGCAGCAACCCCGAGGCACUCUAAGCUUGGUGGGUGCAGCAGACUCAGCCCCACAUAGUGGGGAACUGUAACUGGAAAAGAGACUGAAAUGAGUAGGAUUUUGAGUGGAUUGGUGCUGUGAGUAACUUCAGAUCAAUAUAUGUGGAACUGGAAACUCAAACGUGAUCAAGUGGUUGCUGUGUGUUUGCUCCUAGAGACAUUCUUGUACUGGAGAUGGUUGCAUUUCUGUGUUCAGUCUGCACGUGUCUCAGAGGGUUGUGUUUUCUGUGUCCAUACCCAUGUCUACAUGUUCACUCAGGCCUAUUAAACACCUGUAUCAGUCUGCGCAGCUCAUUCAAUUUGUGCCAGGGGUUUAACUGUAGGAAUAACCCCUGCCAGUGCAGCAGGGCCUGAGCUUUGGUGUCUGUCC